rnacentral:sRNA from 1 species
UCAAGUGCAAGAAGUGCACGGAGAUCGUGGACCAGUUUGUGUGCAAGUAGUGGGUGCCACCCAGCACUCAGCCCCGCUCCCAGGACCCGCUUAUUUAUAGAAAGUACAGUGAUUCUGGUUUUUGGUUUUUAGAAAUAUUUUUUAUUUUUCCCCAAGAAUUGCAACCGGAACCAUUUUUUUUCCUGUUACCAUCUAAGAACUCUGGUUUAUUAUUAAUAUUAUAAUUAUUAUUUGGCAAUAAUGGGGGUGGGAACCAAGAAAAAUAUUUAUUUUGUGGAUCUUUGAAAAGGUCUUGGGAAAACAAAACAAAACAAAACAAACCUCCCUUCCCCAGCAGGGCUGCUAGCUUGCUUUCUGCAUUUUCAAAAUGAUAAUUUACAAUGGAAGGACAAGAAUGUCAUAUUCUCAAGGAAAAAAGGUAUAUCACAUGUCUCAUUCUCCUCAAAUAUUCCAUUUGCAGACAGACCGUCAUAUUCUAAUAGCUCAUGAAAUUUGGGCAGCAGGGAGGAAAGUCCCCAG